AUUAUCUUCUAACAUGUCCAAUGGAAAAUUAGGGUUCAUCACCGCCAUUGGAGAGAUCAAGUUGCUGAGUUCGAGUUGAUGAAUCUGUUUGUAGGUUUUCGAUCGUGUCGUCUGAUCUUAUUUCUCAUCAACCGAAACGCUCACAGUUACAGAUUCGUCGCAUUAAACCUCCUCUUAACUCCAUCAACCAUAUCUAGCCUUGAAUGCGAAUUUCCCUUCUGCAAGGCGGUGUCACUGAGCGUAUAAAAAGGUAAGCCUUACCCCUCUCAAAACCAUAUUCUCGAUCUGUUGAUUCGUGGGGGAAAUGGCUAACUCGAAGGCGAGAGACGUCAGGCGCGGUGGGGAUUUCUUCUCGCUGACAAAGGGAAACCGGAACUGUUACGGGCUACAUUAAACCGAUUCUUCUGGAUUUCUUCUUAGAUCGUUAUGGGCGUCGAUAUGCUUCUCCUUGAUGCCAAGGAUAUUACUGAAGAAAACAAAUCUUAUCCAUGCCCAACGGAGUGGUUAUUCGGUGUUGAUAUCCUAAAGAAAUAGGAAGAGUCUACACGGUUUCACAACAAGCCCAAAUAUACUUUGUUUUUGGAUCAUCUGGAGAUUCCUUUGAGAAGAAAAGGAAUAGAGUUCUUUUGGUUCGAUGGGAAAUUGGGUCAGAAGUCCGAAGAGAAGGUGCUGAAGGAUUCAAUGGAACCAUCACAAAACAGUUCUGCUUCUGUCUCUGAAACCUGGAGUCGAACUGAAUCUAACCGCAUCUUCACACGCCUUCUUAACGCGGAAGAGCAAUCGAUCAUAUGAGAAUUAAUCGCGUAGACAUAGCAGCAACACUGUUUAGAGUUCCGUGAGUGAGAACAAGAUCAUAAUAGGCGGUACAAUGCCUGCUUAUUGAAUCUUCACUUGAACGGGACCCGAGAGCAGCUGUGGCAGCAUUGUUCAAUAUCUGCAUUAAUCAGGGAAACAAAGGCAUAGAGAUGAUAGCCGGCAUAUUAGCUACAUUGGUUGAGAUGCUAAGCUUUGACAAUAAUCUUGGACCCAUGAUAGACUUGCGGGUAUAUGUUUGAUUGUAAUGAAAGUUACAUGGCUGUGGUUUCCAUUGCUUGCACAAUGCCAAGAAGAUUGAUAAAUCCCUCCGGCUUAGAAAGAAGGUCAAACCCACUCAAGGUUGUGAGGUUCCAAUUAAAGAAUAAUAAGAUGCCCGAGCCAAAAGUGCCGGUGAGGUUCGAUCUUGAUGAUCAUGAGCACGAACCAAAAGAGAAGUCUCUGGAAGAAAGAGAGGGUUUGAAAACUGUUGAAGGGGAGGUGGAAGUUAUGAGGUUCAAAUCAAGCUGACGAAGCAAAAAGCUCUAACUAAGGCUAUUAGCUAACUGGGAAACGAGAGCGUUUGAAUUUCAAGCAUGUGGUGGACCAGAUCGCAAGUGUUUCAGUUCAUCGGCCUCAAGUCGAUGUGGUGGUUGCUUACAGUGCUUUCACCUCUGUAUGUUACAUUUCAAGAUUUUGUGGUUAUGCUUAGAUGCUGGUGAAAAACAUUACUAUAAAUGUACACGUUUUAGAGAUUGUAGUUAAAUAGGAUAUAUUGAAGGAUUGUGGAAGUCGAGAUAAGAAAAAAAUUAUAUUUAGGAUUCAAAGAACCAAACAAAGCUACUGAGAUUUUGUUGUAAACGGAGAUACCAUAACAUUUCUAUUACACAGA